ACGCCUUUUUAUUCACCAUAAAUACAGUGUGCACUGCCGAGCUAAAAUAAGCAUCUGUCCUCAAAUUCAAAUCUGAAGUGUCAUAAUACAGUCGGUUUCAACUCUUGCAUUUCGAUUAUAGCCAUCACAGCUGUAAACAUGUUUUCAUCUUGAGCACUUGCACAAUGGGAGUCAUGUAUUUAUAGACAUUUACAUAUCUAUCUACACUCAAUAUCUCUACAAAGCAUAGAAAAAAUAAAUCUCAUCACAUUUAUCCUUACAUUAUUUAUUACAUUAUGUAAAUGGUUGCUGACAGAGCAAAGGGGGCCGAGCCGUCCGUUUGUGGCAUUUUGGCUGCAUCUCAAAAGGAAAAACAUAAUUCUUUGCCUCUUGAGCAUCCGGGCAGCUUUCACUGCAGUUGGCUUACCGAGCGCAAAACCUCGUGCCCUCUCUUCAUGCUGUGGGACUGAGGGCAUCGACUGCAGCGUGAUGAAGCAAAAAUGAGAUGAGCAUUAUAACGACAGCCGUCAUCUGCAGGAAGGGGCAGACAUCCAUCCAAUCUGUCCUUUUUUUUUUAAGUAUACAAAGUAUUAUGGCUUCUGUCUGAUUUGAUUCUUCCCUCCUUUUGGAAAAAAAAAACAUCAGACAUCCAGUAGAAUGACCUUCACCAGCAAGCUUUUGUCUGAUUGGUUAAUAGGACUCCACAAAGAGAGAGGGAGGGAAAAUCGUUGCUGCGCAGGUUUUUUCUCUUCCUGAAUGAUCACAAAGGCUGAAGAUACAGCCUCGCUCUAUUCCACUCAGAGUUCACUUAUCUUUUUAGUGCCUUUCUUUACAGCGAAGCUUCGCCUCAUUUAGGCAUGCUGUUCACAUAGAGAGCACACAGACAGCAGUGACGGAAAUAUGUUACAUGAGGCACAUUUCAAGUUUUUUGGGAGUCAUCUUCUUCCUUUAUUAUGUACAUAACAGAUCCCAGCAGAAGGCAGCUGUGUAAUUAGUCACUUCAGGUUGUCUGGAGAGAUGGUUCUUUCCUCUCGCCGCCUUUUUUUUUUUCUCCUUUUUACUCAGGACACCUCAGAUUUGGGAUAAUUCAUAGCUCUAUCGCAAAAACAUCAGAUUCCAGAAUAUAAACUGCUUUAAAAUCUAAAAGAGAAUAGCUUUUGCAGUGGCUAAAUUCGACAGUGACGACGACAAAAGUAACUUCCAAAAGGUAAGAGUAUCCAAUACGAUGUGCCUAUGGGGCGGCCAUCUUAGCGGGGCAACGUUCCCAUUAAAGGAAUUAGAUGUACAUGGAAAAUAAAUCAUAUCUUGCUUAUUUACUCUUUCAACGUCAAAAGAUAUGCUAUUAAUAUAGAGCAUUCUUUGUCUUUUUAAUCAAAUGCUCUGUAUCAAAAGCACGUUUUGGCUUUAAUAAUGAAGUAAACAGCAUGAAAACCGGUUAGCAAGAUAUAAUUUAUUUUCAUUGCCUUUAAUGGGAAGAGUGCCCCCGCUAGCUUAGCCUCACUGUAGGCACACAGCUCAAAGGGACAUGUCCUAUCUACUAUUCAAUCUUUUUAUGCAACUAAGAAAAUAUUGUUUGGAGAAAUGAAAGGGGAAUAGUCUAAAAGAGCAGCUGUAAUACUGCUGUUUAGGCAAAAUAAUGAUAAAAAAUGUACAAUUAGAGAAUAAUCAGCUGGAGGAUAAGCUACUGUGUUAGCACCAAAACAAAGCAAAACAACACUGGAGGUUGGGUCAGGCUUCAGAGAGGAGAUUUAAGCCUCCGACAGUUUACUUUCAAUAAUAGAUGGGUCAGAUUAUUUAUUUAUUCACCUCUCCUCCCCUCUUCUCUCCUUUCCUCUGUCUCCCUCCAGUGCUUUCUACGCCUGAAAAAUGAGGCCAACUUGGCGGGAAGCGGGACGACACCAGCUCUAUUUUGGGGAGAGGAGGGAAAAAACAGAGAUGGACACUAUCGUCAUAUCCAGUCACACAGUAGACUCCUGCAGGUUACAUGUUGCAGACAGGGCGCAGUACUUCUUAACCUGCUAUGAUAUGGUCUCCUCUUCUCCCAACAGAUCAGGGAGCAGGUGUUUUCUGUCAGAGCGGACUUACAGUUAAAGGGUGUGGCUUCAGGGGGGUGGGGGUGGGGGGGCUACAGGAACCGGUAAAGCUUGAAAUGUUGUUGCUUUGAUGGGAAUCUCAAUCAAAACCACAUUUUUCCUUGAGAGAUAAUAUUAUAUUUGAAUUUCUUGUUUUGAGGGUCACCUGGUUUGACAUCUGCACAGACAAUGAGUCGUACUCCAGAGAGACCAGGUGGACAUAUUUCGACUCUAAAGGAAGUGACAAACACACAGGGUUGUUUCAGUGGUACAAAUCUGCUCAUGCAUUGUUCUUUGUUUUUGCCCUGUGCCCUUUCUGUCCUGAAAAUAACAGACCGAUACUCAAUGCUGUUCAGAAGAAUACAUAUCCCCAAGUUAUGAAGCCACUGUUUCAUCUUUUUGUCUUAUUGAUUUCAGCCUGCGUGGCGCCUUAGAGGAAGGAUGAAAGCUGGUGAAGGAAAGCUGCUCAGGGCUCAGGGUUCAGGAGUCAGGGGAUGUCAGGAGAGGAUCUGUGGCUAAAACCGACGUGUAAAACCUCGCAGAAAAGAAGGGAUUUUCCUCUCCGUCCCAUAAGAGGCCUAAUCUAUUUCUAUUCCUUUGGCCUCAGGAAGGCUGAAUAGUAAAAAUCUAUUAUCUUGAAUCUGAAAUUUAAGGCCUAUAGCGAUACUCAUUGUUUAAUCUUCUUUCUAGGG